rnacentral:rRNA from 1 species
CAGUCGCCACGGUAAUACAGAGGGUGCGAGCGUUAAUCGGAUUUACUGGGCGUAAAGCGUGCGUAGGCGGCUUUUUAAGUCGGAUGUGAAAUCCCUGAGCUUAACUUAGGAAUUGCAUUCGAUACUGGGAAGCUAGAGUAUGGGAGAGGAUGGUAGAAUUCCAGGUGUAGCGGUGAAAUGCGUAGAGAUCUGGAGGAAUACCGAUGGCGAAGGCAGCCAUCUGGCCUAAUACUGACGCUGAGGUACGAAAGCAUGGGGAGCAAACAGGAUUAGAGACCCGCGUAGUCCCUGUCUCUUAUAC